rnacentral:rRNA from 1 species
GACGAACGCUGGCGGCGUGCUUAACACAUGCAAGUCGAACGAUGAAGCAAAGAAUCGAAGCUUCGGCAGAAAUUCAUUUCGGAUUAGUGGCAGACGGGUGAGUAACGCGUGAGCAACCUACCUCUUACAAAGGGAUAGCCUCGGGAAACCGGGAUUAAUACCAUAUAACAUUGUGACGAAGCAUUUCGAUGCAAUCAAAGCUACGGCGGUAAGAGAUGGGCUCGCGUCCCAUUAACCGGAUGGUGAGGUAACGGCUCACCAUAGUGACGAUGGGUAACCGGCCUGAGAGGGUGAACGGUCACACUGGAACUGAGACACGGUCCAGACUCCUACGGGAGGCAGCAGUGGGGAAUAUUGCACAAUGGAGGGAACUCUGAUGCAGCGACGCCGCGUGAGUGAUGAAGGAAUUCGUUUCGUAAAACUCUGUUCUAUGGGAAGAAAAGGACUGUACCAUAGUAGAAAGCUCCGGCUAAAUACGUG